UUCAAAGAUGAAGCAAAGCUCUGGGCUUUUAAAACUAACCUGGAUAGUUCUGUGGGAGGGAACAUGAGGAAUACUUGGUGGUGCUGUGACAGGCAUGUGACUACAAGCAGCUUUGCAUACAUAUAUGCCUGCAGUGUUGCAUGUUAAAAAGAAGUAUCACUGAGAUCAAAAGGCAGAACACAAGGAAAGGUCACUUCAAGAUGCAUGAUUUCUCAUGAUAGAAAGACAUCCCAGGUGUGGAAUUGAGAAAUGCAGCAAUCUUUGGAGCUUAGCAGAGAUCUACCACUAAAUGUAACUUCUUCAGGGAUUUACAAAGAGAAAAAUUCUUUUAGUGCAAGACUUGUGAAUUAUCCCUUUGCCACACAUGUUCUCUACAUGUGUGCCUCACACUCCAUUGGACUCUUAGUUUAAGCUCACCAUUUCCAUGGAUGCUGUUAAUAAGGAAAUGCGUGCCCUGGUUUUUUAGGGGAUCAUUUUCUACUAACUGUUCACACUAAACCAUCUGAGUAAAGACUUCUUCUAAAAGCUAAUUACAUGCAAACAUGGUAGAAUUGCAAAGAACAACUUAACCCCAAAGAAGAGACAUGAGAAGACACCUCCUCUUACUCCUUUGCACAGUGGGGGGAGGAGAUUGGUUCUCAGGUAUGGAUCACUGUAAUUAAUGUCAGAUUGUUUUGAAAUAUUAAUUGGCUUUGUUGAACACAUUUUUUUUUCUAAAACUCUUAGUUAUAAAGGAUGUACCUCUGAGAGGCAGAAGUGGAGGUACAAAG